GGGGGGAUUAGUGGCGAACGGGUGAGUAACACGUGAGUAACCUGCCCUUAACUCUGGGAUAAGCCUUGGAAACGGGGUCUAAUACUGGAUAUUGACUUUUCCUCGCAUGGGGAUUGGUUGAAAGAUUUAUUGGUUUUGGAUGGACUCGCGGCCUAUCAGCUUGUUGGUGAGGUAAUGGCUCACCAAGGCGACGACGGGUAGCCGGCCUGAGAGGGUGACCGGCCACACUGGGACUGAGACACGGCCCAGACUCCUACGGGAGGCAGCAGUGGGGAAUAUUGCACAAUGGGCGAAAGCCUGAUGCAGCGACGCCGCGUGAGGGAUGACGGCCUUCGGGUUGUAAACCUCUUUCAGUAGGGAACAAGGCCAGUGUUUAGCUGGUUGAGGGUACUUGCAGAAGAAGCGCCGGCUAACUACGUGCCAGCAGCCGCGGUAAUACGUAGGGCGCAAGCGUUAUCCGGAAUUAUUGGGCGUAAAGAGCUCGUAGGCGGUUUGUCGCGUCUGCCGUGAAAGUCCGGGGCUCAACCCCGGAUCUGCGGUGGGUACGGGCAGACUAGAGUGAUGUAGGGGAGACUGGAAUUCCUGGUGUAGCGGUGAAAUGCGCAGAUAUCAGGAGGAACACCGAUGGCGAAGGCAGGUCUCUGGGCAUUAACUGACGCUGAGGAGCGAAAGCAUGGGGAGCGAACAGGAUUAGAUACCCUGGUAGUCCAUGCCGUAAACGUUGGGCACUAGGUGUGGGGGACAUUCCACGUUUUCCGCGCCGUAGCUAACGCAUUAAGUGCCCCGCCUGGGGAGUACGGCCGCAAGGCUAAAACUCAAAGGAAUUGACGGGGGCCCGCACAAGCGGCGGAGCAUGCGGAUUAAUUCGAUGCAACGCGAAGAACCUUACCAAGGCUUGACAUGAACUGGAAAUACCUGGAAACAGGUGCCCCGCUUGCGGUCGGUUUACAGGUGGUGCAUGGUUGUCGUCAGCUCGUGUCGUGAGAUGUUGGGUUAAGUCCCGCAACGAGCGCAACCCUCGUUCUAUGUUGCCAGCACGUAAUGGUGGGGACUCAUAGGAAACUGCCGGGGUCAACUCGGAGGAAGGUGAGGACGACGUC
rnacentral:rRNA from 1 species